AAGAUUUUAAGUUAAUUUUAAACUAUUAUCCUUCAAAGAUAUAAAUGGAAGUAAAGUCUUUUAAAUCUUA
rnacentral:tRNA from 1 species